UGAUUAAAGAAGAGAAAAUCUUCAUUUAUAGAUUUACAAUCUACCACUUUUAUCAGCCAUUUAAUC
rnacentral:tRNA from 2 species